UGUUCAGCCACAUGUGGGCACAGGGGCAGUGAAGGUGACUCCGGCUCACAGUCCUGCCGAUGCUGAGAUGGGGGCCCGACAUGACUUGAGCCCCCUGAAUGUCAUUGCGGAGGAUGGGACCAUGACCUCCCUCUGUGGGGACUGGCUGCAGGGACUUCACCGGUUUGUGGCCCGGGAAAAGAUAAUGUCUGUGCUGAGUGAACGGGGCCUGUUCCGGGGCCUCCAGAACCACCCCAUGGUACUGCCCAUCUGCAGCCGUUCUGGGGACGUGAUAGAAUACCUGCUGAAGAGCCAGUGGUUUGUCCGCUGCCAGGAAAUGGGGGCCCGAGCUGCCAAGGCUGUGGAGUCGGGGGCCCUGGAGCUCAGUCCCUCCUUCCACCAGAAGAACUGGCAGCACUGGUUUUCCCAUAUUGGGGACUGGUGUGUCUCCCGGCAGCUGUGGUGGGGCCAUCAGAUUCCAGCCUACCUGGUUGUAGAGGACCACGCGCAGGGAGAAGAGGACUGUUGGGUGGUUGGGCGGUCAGAGGCUGAGGCCAGAGAGGUAGCAGCAGAACUGACAGGGAGGCCAGGGGCAGAGCUGACCCUGGAGAGGGACCACAGACCUUGCUCGUUUCUACCCCCUGUCACUUUUGGAAACGGGCAGCGACCUUCUGCUGUUCUGGGUGGGCCGCAUGGUCAUGUUGGGGACCCAGCUCACAGGGCAGCUGCCCUUCAGCAAGGUGCUUCUUCAUCCCAUGGUUCGGGACAGGCAGGGCCGGAAGAUGAGCAAGUCCCUGGGGAAUGUGCUGGACCCAAGAGACAUCAUCAGUGGGGUGGAGAUGCAGGUACUGCAGGAAAAGCUGAGAAGUGGAAAUUUGGACCCCGCAGAGCUGGCCAUUGUGGCUGCAGCACAGAAAAAGGACUUUCCUCAUGGGAUCCCUGAGUGUGGGACAGAUGCCCUGAGAUUCACACUCUGCUCCCAUGGAGUUCAGGUGGGCGACUUGCGCCUGUCCGUCUCUGAGGUCCAGAGCUGCCGACAUUUCUGCAACAAGAUCUGGAAUGCUCUGCGCUUUAUCCUCAAUGCUUUAGGGGAGAAAUUUGUGCCACAGCCUGCUGAGGAGCUGUCUCCCUCCUCCCCGAUGGAUGCCUGGAUCCUGAGCCGCCUUGCCCUGGCUGCCCGGGAGUGUGAGCGGGGCUUCCUCACCCGAGAACUCUCGCUCGUCACUCAUGCCCUGCACCACUUCUGGCUUCACAACCUCUGUGACGUCUACCUGGAGGCUGUGAAGCCCGUGCUGUGGCACUCGCCCCGCCCCCUGGGGCCCCCUCAGGUCCUGUUCUCCUGCGCUGACUUCGGCCUCCGCCUCCUGGCCCCACUGAUGCCCUUCCUGGCUGAAGAGCUCUGGCAGAGGCUGCCCCCCAGACCUGGUUGCCCCCCUGCCCCCAGCAUCUCGGUUGCCCCCUACCCCAGAGCCUGCAGCUUGGAGCACUGGCGCCAGCCAGAGCUGGAGCGGCGCUUCUCCCGGGUCCAAGAGGUCGUGCAGGUGCUAAGGGCUCUCCGAGCCACGUACCAGCUCACCAAAGCCCGGCCCCGAGUGCUGCUGCAGAGCUCAGAGCCUGGGGACCAGGGCCUCUUCGAGGCCUUCUUGGAGCCCCUGGGCACCCUGGGCUACUGUGGGGCUGUGGGCCUGUUACCCCCAGGCACAGCAGCUCCCUCUGGCUGGGCCCAGGCUCCACUCAGUGACACGGCUCAGGUCUACAUGGAGCUGCAGGGCCUAGUGGACCCGCAGAUCCAGCUACCUCUGUUAGCCGCCCGAAGGUAUAAGUUGCAGAAGCAGCUUGAUGGCCUCACAGCCAGGACCCCAUCAGAAGGGGAGGCAGGGACUCAGAGGCAACAAAGGCUUUCUUCCCUCCAGCUGGAAUUGUCAAAACUGGACAACGCAGCCUCUCACCUCCGGCAGCUGAUGGAUGAGCCUCCAGCCUCAGGGAGCCCGGAGCUCUAACUCAUCAUCCCCAUCAGUUUUCCUCCCUCUCAGACCUGUCUUUGAGGACAAACAGAUUUGUCAGCUGUCAGGGUGCAGUGGGACAUCAGAGACUAUGUGGUCCAUCGCCUUCAUUGUGUAAAUGAGGACACAGACUGGCUUGGUCGCAGUGACUGUGGUGUCCUUGAGAUGCUCAUAUUACUGCCUGGCCUGCCUCCCACCUGGAAGUCUGGGAAUGAGGAGAUUCAGAUAAACUUUUGAAAUCCCAAA
rnacentral:sRNA from 1 species